rnacentral:rRNA from 1 species
UACGGAGGAUCCAAGCGUUAUCCGGAAUCAUUGGGUUAAAGGGUCCGUAGGCGGUUUGGUAAGUCAGUGGUGAAAGCCCAUCGCUCAACGGUGGAACGGCCAUUGAUACUGCCAGACUUGAAUUAUUAGGAAGUAACUAGAAUAUGUAGUGUAGCGGUGAAAUGCUUAGAGAUUACAUGGAAUACCAAUGCGUAAGGCAGGUUACUACUAAUGGAUUGACGCUGAUGGACGAAAGCGUGGGUAGCGAACAGG